rnacentral:misc_RNA from 1 species
GUAGGUGAACCUGCGGAAGGAUCAUUACAAAUCCAACGUCUCCAUCCGAGACCCCGUUGAACUGUUCCCCAUGGUCAGACAUGUGGAGGGAAAGAGGAGGAGAGGGAGGAGAGAAGGGAGAGAACGCGUGUGUCCUCUCGAGGAUGCGCGAGGCUUCCCCUAAUCCCCCCCCCUCCUCCUCCUCCCACCUGACGCCUGACCAACCCCUUUAAACAACCUAGUGUGCUUGUUGCAUCAUGUGUAUCUUUGU